UCAUCACCGGUGAUUUCCAGUUAAAACUACAUCACACUUAGAUGAUUGGAAAACAGUAUAGACAUGUGAGGAAGAGAUUCAACUUCUGAGGUAAGAAUAAAGUCAAGUGGAAGAAGUCUGGAGUGCUUCAUCCAGGAAAGGAAAAAAGCAGCUUCAAGCCUGCAG